GACGAACGCUGGCGGCGUGCUUAACACAUGCAAGUCGAACGGUGAAGGGGUCUGCUUUUGUGGGCCCUGGAUGAGUGGCGAACGGGUGAGUAACACGUGAGUAACCUGCCCCCUUCUUCUGGAUAACCGCAUGAAAGUGUGGCUAAUACGGGAUAUUCUGGGUCUGUCGCAUGAUGGGUCUGGGAAAGAUUGCGCCUUUGGGUGUUUUUGGUGGGGGAUGGGCUCGCGGCCUAUCAGCUUGUUGGUGGGGUGAUGGCCUACCAAGGCGGUGACGGGUAGCCGGCCUGAGAGGGUGGACGGUCACACUGGGACUGAGACACGGCCCAGACUCCUACGGGAGGCAGCAGUGGGGAAUAUUGCACAAUGGGCGCAAGCCUGAUGCAGCGACGCCGCGUGAGGGAUGGAGGCCUUCGGGUUGUAAACCUCUGUCGCCAGUGAAGCAGGCCUGCUCCUUGUGGGUGGGUUGACGGUAGCUGGAUAAGAAGCGCCGGCUAACUACGUG
rnacentral:rRNA from 1 species